GAACUUUUUCAGCUUUAUGUUGAGGUUGAGUUCAUGUCUGAAGUAAUUUGUUUUGUUUAUGCUUACUGACAGAGUAAUGAUGAUGAGUUGGAGGCUACAGUCUAACUUUGUGGAGUUGGUCCAAACUCUGCUGGAAGACCCUUCUGAGAGGAGGUGUUCCCAGUACAUUAUGGCCCUCAGUAUGACACAGCACUGCAGGUACUGGUGUGGGAGUUCCUCUCCAGAUUGGAGGAGCUGCUACCUGUACCAGACUUCAGACAGGUUAUUUAUCUUACUACACUGCAGAUACCAUCCUGUUCCUCUCUCCAACAAUAAGAGUUGUCAUUGGCUCGGAGCAGGCCAGCUCUGACAAAAUGAGGUCAUGCUCAGAUGGAGAUAAAUGCUUCAAGAAUGGGACAGAGAGAGCAGGAGAUGGAGAAGAGAGAGAAGGACAAUCUAAUGGGGUCAGAGAGGAGGAAAAAGAUAUGCAGACUGAAGAGGACUGGGAAAAGGAAGACUGCAGAGAAUUCUGGUCCGUGUAUCCCAGUACCCAGCAACGGCAUGGAAAUUCAGGUUUGAAUAGUGACAUGGCAUCCCAGGUCCUUGCCUGCUCCCUCUGCACAUUCUCUCAUAUUAUGGUAAAACUCCAACAGCACAUCAGGAUUAGGCAUGGCGGUGAGGACAGGAAGCGUCUAUGCUCUAAAGAAUCUGGGACUGAAAGCACCUUUCCUCAAGCAGCACAAAACUCCCCCAGCGUAUCAGCACUAGGCACCAAAGGAAGAACUGGAAGCAUCUCAACUCUAAAGAAUCUGGGAAUGAUAAUUCCUGUCCCACACGCAGCACAAAACUACUUCAUCAGUAGUACGGACUAGGCACCAAGGGGAUGAGCGGAAGUGUCAACACUCUGAAGAAUCUGGGACGGAAAACCUUCCCUCAAGCACAAAAAUUAUCCCCUAUAGACCCGAUAACAUGACUCUAAGUUGCCCUCAUUGUGGGAAUGUUUACCAAAACCUCAACUCCCUGGAAAAACAUAAGAAUUCACACAUUUCCAUUCUGUUGUAACCAGUGUGAGAGAAGAUUCUCGACCAGAUUAGAUCUCAAAAGACAUCAGCGAGCUCACACAGGGGAAAGACCAUUGUGAUGUGUGCAUAUUCACUCAAAAUGCAUGUACACACACACACUGUGGAGAGUCCCUACUCUUGCACCAUUUGUGGGACAUCUAGCUAGACACAUGCAUUCAGGGGAGAAAAACUAUUUAUGUAGCAUCUGUGGUAAGGCAUUCCUUAGCUCAGGAGAACUAAUGCUGCAUACAUGAUCACACACACAGGAGAAUGACCCUACAUCUGUGAACGUUGUGGAAGGGGUUUCAAAGCAGCAUGCCAUGUUCAGAUUCAUGUACAAAGAUUUCACACAGGGGAGUGUCCAUACCCCUGCACCCUGUGCACAAAACAUUGUCAUUCUCAGGGAAAAUAAAAUACAUGUUAAUUCACACGGGUGAGAAACCUCACCAGUGGUCCAAGUGUGGGAAGAGAUUUUCUUUAAAGGAAACUCUGAAAACGCAUCUUAAAAGGCAUGGAUUUUAAGACAUUCCAGACAGAUCAUAUUAGUUAUGCAUAAAGUCUGGUAGAUGGUAUUACUUCUUUCCCCCCAGGUCCGGCGUUAUGGGCCGGCCUUAAGGGCCUGGCCCGGCCUACCGUAACCUUCUUUCCCGUACAAAUAAAAUACAGAAAUAUUAAUAAUUUAUUUUACCGAGAC